UGGCCGUCGCCGCCGUAAUGAGGAAGAGGCGGGGGCGAAGGCGGCAGAUUCGACUCCUGUGGCCGCUCAACUUGCUCUUCCCGGAGAACACGGACACUCCCCGGGGGCAUCAGCGCGGCGGCGGUGGCGAAGUAGUCUGCCGGGACAGGCUUCUUUUUCCCCGCCGUCAGGCCGUCCUCCCCGUAGACUCCCCCUCAGGCCCUCGACGGCGGCGUGUGGCGUGACGUAGAGCUUGUGGAGCGCGGGCACGCCCUUCCUGCCCGCGCCCCUAUCGCUGUCGCUGGUGAACUCCUGCAUGAGCCACGGCGUCUUGCGCUUCUUGGACGGGGACGGGACGCAGUAGAACCCGAAGCAAUUCUUAAGCCUGCCCUCUUCGGGAAGCUCCUCCUUGGUCUGCUCCAGCCGCAAGUACCCGCCGAUCUGGACGCUGCGGUCGCCACGCUUGUUCUUGAUCGUCGCGCACGGACUCUAGAACUUGGACUCGCCGAGGAACCACCAGGUGUGCUGGCCCGCGCGGGCGCUGGCCGGUGGGUGAAGCUGCUGCAGUGCAUAGUGGUCGUUGGUGUACAAUGUCGGCGUGGAAGAUGAACCCCCGCGCGUCCGGCAUCUUGUCAUCACCGGCGAUCCACCGGUUGAGGAACCCCAUGAUGUCCGCAUUCGUCGGGUUGAAGUAGACGCCGAGAGGCAGCGGCGGCAGCUGCUUGAGUUUGUUCAACCCACCGGGACUGGGCGUAGGCGUGCCAUGGACAUGGAGCUGCUGGCUCCGGCUCCGGCUCCGGUGUCGGCGGUGGCAGAAGUUGAUCUCUUGAUUGCUUUCCUCGCUUUCGUGACGCCCAUGGUUUCCUAGCUAGCAAUCCGCAUGACUUUCUCCGUGCAAUCUGCACGACCAAACAUAACAGUAACGGUUAAUCAUGCAUAAAUAGAAAUCAAAUUGAGAGCAAACACAAGUGUUUGGAUGAAUUUGUAUCCUGAUAUGUCACUCUAUUCUUUUGAUGACAGAGAAAAAAAAGCAUCUAAGAAACACCAUGCAGCCGCCCAAGCAAUUGCCAAGAAAUCAUAUGAUUAUACCAAUUACUAAUUAAUCAAUUACCCAUGGGUCUUGUUCGGCCGGUGCCGCAUCUCCGACCUGUUCUGUUGCUUCUUUGCGGCCGCCCCAUGUAGCCCCAGCCACAACUCGCCGAUCUUGCACACCGUGAUGGAGCAACGAGAAGGACACGUCGCCGCUUGUGGGAGGUGAGGUCAACGUGGAUAAUGUGGAUAACAGCCGCCAGAUCGGAGAGGUCAACACGAUGUGGGCUAGGGGCGGUAGGCCUCGGCGGACCAGCAGCUGCGGCGGCAAGUGCAGCGGUGAGGUCGGGCCGAGGAGGGCGGGCAGCGGCAGAGAGGACGAGCGGCGGCCGAGGAGCUAUGGGGAGGGGUGGGUUGGAGCCGACGCUAACCUACCUAGCCAGAUUGAGGUUGAGCUAUGUGUUUUUUUUUGGAACCUUCUAAGCGACGUGCGUGUGCGUUGUUGGAGAUGAAACUGUGAGGGAGAUAUGGGCUUUUGCAGGGCUUGGCCCAUAUGCGGCUGGACGGGGCGAGCGAAUAAGGCACGACGAUGGCGAGCGACGUAAGAGGGGAAACGGAACCUUACGAUUCUUUUAGGUAGUAGAGACUAGAGAUUUGCUGUCAUGUUUUAGUCCAAACACGCCAACGGAUGCAAGGAAUAUAGUGAAGGAAACGCACUUUUGCCUACAUAAAAGGUGCGUUGGCAGGUCGAGUCUAUGGAUGGAAAGAGAAUCUAAUAGCGAAGUCUGGUAAAGAAAGCUUGGUGACAGCCGUAGUGCAAGCCAUUCCCACCUUCGCUAUGUCGUGCUUUGACCUGACAAAAACCUUCUGCCAUAAGCUUAGCUCCCUCAUCUACUAUAUCUAAAUAGAAGCCCUCCACUACAUGAUUUUCCUGCCUUCUCAUGCGUCCACGUCAUCCUAAAUGUUCUCAACCGUUUGAUUUGGCACAUGUGGCUCAGAUCUGCAGGAAGAGUUGAUGUCCCGGCGUUCGCUUCAGUGCCCCUCCCGUUCGCUCCUCCUUCCUCUAUCCACAGAAGCGGAAGCGAAAGUUUCUCCAGUCGAAACGUGUGUGAUGAAUCUCUCCGCGUAAAUUGGCCGCCCCAUCUCUCUCCGCAAACGACACAAAGCGGCGACGGACCAACUGAGCCCAGACUCCUCUAGGGUUUGCAGUCUCCACCGGAGAUAGAACCGGCAGCGAUGGCGGCUUGCGGGGCAAAGGCAGGAUCGGAAGACAAUUGAUCUGGAGGAGGGUGGAACUUCAUGCAGAAAGAGGCACACACCUUGGCUCAUCCAGAUCUGUGAGAUGACGGGCAAGAAGGCACAUCGAGGAGAUUUUAGCUCUUGAGGAACAGAGCACUCGCAACAACCUGAAGUUCAUGAAGGUACUGUUAGUCUUCUAACUUCACUGGAACGAUGCUUCAACUUUAUUCCCCCUUGCUCAUGUCAUGCCCGGUUCCCUCCCUUAUCAUCAUUCCACUCUGACAGUUUUAUGCUUGCUAGGUGCUUGAUGGAAUUCCUAGACGUGUGUUUCCGAGGGAGGUAAAGGCAAAUAAUUUAGAUGAAAUGAUUAACUGAUGAGAUUCUCGCAGUUUCUCUUAUCGGGGUUGAUAUAAUAAGUUCCUUGGCAUGAAUAAUGAAUUCCUGACUAUAGUUGUGUUUCCAUCAAAGAAAAUUCACUCCUUAGUAAUUGAAUAAUUUUUGCAGUUCAAAUUUUAAGGAGACUCUGGUUGAAAAGUAUCUGUUAUUGUUUUCUUUUCCCUUGAUUGUAAGCUUACUGCAUACUCUUUUGUUACCUACAGGUUUCAGGUAAUGGCAUGCGAUUCUGGGAGGUAGCAAAUGACAUUGCUGGAAUGAUUGACAUUGUUACUGUGCUGCUUACCUAUUGAAGUUAAAUAAGAUGUAAAGCUUUACAACCAUAUCAAAGCCAAUGAUGCAGCUAUACUUUGAUGUACCAAGAUCUGACAAGGACAAACUGUGUGACCUGAAACUGGAAGCAAAAACAUUGAUGUGCGUUCUGCGGAUGUGGACGCUGGGCGGCAGCGGCGUAGGCGAGUGCACCAGAGUGGACGACUUGUGAGCAGCGGGGCAGCGCGACAGCGCCUGCAUGAGAACGAGGGACAUGAGCUGUUGCUCUGCUCCAUGUCCUCCUCUCUCACAUCUUCCACACGUCAUCCAUCAUGCGCCUGCAACUACUGCUUUCUCUCCAUGGUUGGCUGGUGUUUCUCAACUUUCUCACUUGGUGCUACUUCUCUAUCUAAUUGAUUUUAAUUCAGAGUAUAUUUCCCUUUGUAAUUGAUUCUUCAGUACAUCAUGCAGUGUACUGAUGCUUGCCAUCUACAUACAUGUUUGUUCUUAUGUCUAUAGAGUUUAAUUUAUUUUUACUUUUCACUUGAUUUGUUUUUAAUUCAGAGUAUCUUUCUCUCUUAAUUGUUUCCACCGGCAGCACACAUGGAGUGGUUCACCUUGAUUAUUUCUCUUGCCUCUCAAAUCUUAUAUACAUAAAAAAUACAUCAGUUACUCUUCCUUCCUAGGAAGAUAUUUUUACAAUAUAUUUGUGUGUAAGAACAAUCUAUAACCAGUUGUUUCUUAUGUAUGCCUAUAACAUAAUACUAGAUUUGUUACUCCAACAGAGCUAGUGUUAAUAUCUGGACGGACCCCUGGAUUCCAAGGCCGUGGUCGUGAAGGGUGAUCACCCCAAGGGGGAACAAUCUGCUGCAGUUUAUUAAUGACCUGAUAGAUCCGGGUACUUGGCAAUGGGAUGAACGCCUAGUGCGAGAAACAUUUUGCACGGAUGAUGCCAGGCAUAUAAUGCAGAUGCCGCUGCGGGAGGGGGUGAAAGACUUCAUAGCCUGGCAAUUUGAUAAUAAAGGUCUCCACUCGGUCAAGAGUGCGUACAAGCUGUAUGUCGAAUUAAACACGAUUAGGAAGAAUGGCGGAGCGAUGCGGGUAAUCUGAACAGUUGUAAGAACGAGUCUUGGAAAAGGAUCUGGAAGCUGCCGUGCCAGCGAAAUGUCCAGAUGUUUACAUGGAGGGUGCGGCAUGAAUCAUUGGCACUUCUAACAAAUAUGCAGAAGAGAGGCUUCAAGCUGGAGAGCACGAAAUGCUUGUUUUGUGGCCGUGUUGAUGAAGAUGGAGCGCACCUGUUCAUCAAGUGUAAGGCUGUUAAGAAGGUGUGGCGGGAGCUUGCUCUUGAGGAAGAAAAGAAUGGAGCUGGAAACUAUCUCGUUUGUACAUGCUAUGAUGGAUUAUCUAUGGGGCUGGCUGAGACAAAACGCAUGCAUAUCCUCACUUUCUGGUGGCUCUGGUGGAGCGCACGGAAUAAACUACGGAAGGGGGAGCUUGUUGCGUCGGCGGAUGAGCUAGCAAGACGCACGCGUAGCUACGUAUUGGAUUACAUGCAAGCCUUUCUCCCACCAGCCAAAAAGAUAUGUGCUGAUAAGUGGAGGCCACCACAGGCAGAAAUGGUGAAAAUCAAUGUUGAUGGAGCCUUUGUCCCAGGGGAUGAUCACGCUGGAUGGGGAGCUGUGGUGCGAACCAUGGAUGGCGCGGUGGUGGGAGCCCGGGCUAGAAGACAGGAGCAUGUGCAGGAUGCGUCAUGCUGUGUCAAUGGCAGCAGAGCUGGAAAUAAUAAGGGUGGAGUUCGAAACUGACUCAUAGCUGGUGGCGGAGGCUUUUCGACCUCGGGAAGGCUGAUUCAUCACCGUAUGCUGCGGUCAUUGAGGACGUGAAGUACCAGCUCAAGAUGUGGUUCCCCAAACAUGUAAUAAAAGUUUGCCGCCGUAGUGCCAACUCAGUUACACAUAAGUUAGCUAGCGUUGGGCGCAUGUGCCCUCAAAACUCAAUUAUGGAGUGGGACUCUGAUGUACCAGCCCAAGUGGUUGUUUGUGUCUCGGGUGAUCUACCAGAGAGCCGUUAAGUUAUAAAGC